GCGGGUGUAGUUCAUCGGUAGAAUGAGACCUUCCCAAGGUCUAGAGGCGGGUUCGACUCCCGUCACCCGCU
rnacentral:tRNA from 2 species